ensembl:lncRNA
UCUCAGCCUGAGCAAUGCUGGAGCCCCAAAGAUUCUGAAGCCCCAAUUCUAAGUGAGGGCAGAGCCGCAUCCUCCAAACCCCCCAUAAUCAGUGCUGGGACUGGAAGAAUCAGACCAGGAAAGGUGACAGAAUGUCAGAGGAGUUGGGACAUUACCCUCAGGUCACUGAGCCACAGUAGAGUUUUGAAAAGGUGAGGAGAAUCAGAUUAAAAAGUCUAUGGGGGGACUUCCCUGGUGGUCCAGUGGCUAAGAAUCAGCCUGCCAACGCAGGGAACAUGGGUUUGAUCCCUGGUCUGGGAAGAUCCCACAUGUUAUGGGGCAACUAAGCCAAUGUGCCACAACUACUGAGUCCAUAUGCUCUAGAGCCCAGGGGCCACUGCAAUGAGAAGGCUCAAGAGAAGCCACUGCAAUGAGAAGGCCGCGCACAGCAACUAGAGAAAGUUCCCAUGCAACAACGAAGGCCUAGCACAGCCAAAAAAAAAAAAGCCUGUGGGGGUGGGAAAGGAGGUGAAGGUGGUUUAUCCCAAAUCAGGCCUCAGCUGCCUGGGUGGAUACCAGCAGGGGGCAUGUAGGCCCCCUAAUAAGGGGGUGGGGUCAGAUUUGCUGGGAAGACCAGAGAAGGCCAUGCCUAGGGGAAGGGAUGUCAGGAAGGACAGAUAAAUGCUGAACCCUUGGGUAGGACAAAAGGAAGGACAGACAGGCUUGUGUUCAGGAGAGAUCCAGACAUGCUUUGAUGCCCCCAGAGCGUCCACAGCCGCCUCAGACGCCAGACCCGCGGCUCUCCUCCUCCAGCUGAGUAUCGGAUGACCUGGCAGCCCCCAUCCAGCAUCGGGAAGCUACGCUGGAAAAGGGGUCCAGACAGCUGGUUCGGAACGUUUGAAACAAAGGCGGCAAUACAGUCGUAUGAGGAAGAACCAGAAGUUGCCAGAGCUCGUUACACAGGCGGUGAUGAGGUCCUGCUGUGGGAAAUUACCCAGCCCCAGAGGCAGGGCUCUGGGCUUCACAUAUAAAGCCACUGGGCCAAAGGCUGCGGACUCAAGAGUUUGCAGAGGAUGUUCACGGCGUGAUUGAUCAUAUGAUCACAGGAAGCAAGCUGUGGGACUCCGCUGGCGGUCCAGUGGACAUGCAGAGCUUCCCUGACCAGGGAUCGAACCCAUGCCUCCUGCAGUGGAAGCCCAGAGUCUUAACCACUGGAUUGCCAGGGAAGUCCUUUUAACUUAUUAUUAUUAUUAGUUAAUAUUUUAAC